CGGCAGAGGAAACCUUAAGGUGGCCUCUCUCUUUGUCAACCUCUUCUCUGCCCUCUUGUCCUCGGGAAAGCUACGGUGGCGAAUUAGAUAUGGUAUCCAGGAAAUUGGAAAAGCAGCAACAGUACCUAAUGCAUGGAAGACCAAAAUCUAGAAAAUUCUUGAUAGUAGUGUUAGGAUACAAGUAUCAAUUAUUAGUAGGCCAUGUAAAGCUGGUUUAAGUCAAAAAUUUUUGGAACUCGACUGGAUAAUUUGUUGAUGCGUGUUAUCAUUAUCUAUCGUUGAAUGUCCCUCUAAAUUGUUCACAACUUCUUCUUUUUAUGAUUGUAUCAAUUUCCUUGCUUCCUUCUUUCUGAUUAUCUAUCUAGUAUCUUACCUUAAUUAUCUGCAUAGUAUGCAAUGUUUUGCAUGUGAAAAUUAAGUGUUGUGAUUUUGAUCUUUUCCUCUUUAAUGGAUUGGGAAACAGGGACCAUAAACACCAUUCAUUUAAUCAGUAUUAAUUGUGGAACUUCUCUUCUAUUGGCUUGUUAUAUAUACCAUGCUCGUUAAUAUAUGUGCUUUUACAAGAAGCCAAUAGAACAGAAUUCCACAGCUAAUACUAGUGGCUGACCAGUCCUGCAUUGAGGGAAAAAUAUUUUGUGUCCAGUUCCAUUGUCUGACAUUAUUGUUAGUGUCUAUCUACUUGUGUUUCCUCGUGCAAAGAUGGCAUUGCAGAACAUUGGUGCUUCAAACAUCGAUGAUGCCUUCUAUCAGUUUAAUGUGCCCAAGAUGAUAACUAAAGUAGAAGGUUGUGGGAAUGACAUCAAGACAAACAUUUUGAACAUGGUGGACAUUGCAAAUGCCUUGCACCGACUAGCUUCUGACACUACCAAGUAUGUUGGCUGUGAGCUUCGUGCUCAAUCCAAGUUCGAUGAAAAGACUGGUGCUUAGCUUGUUAACGGAGCUCAUGACACUGCCAAAUUAGCUGGAUUACUAGAGAACUUUAUCAAAGAGUAUGUACUGUGUUAUGGAUCUGGUAAUCCUGUGACUGCACAUGCUUUUUGAUAAUGUGCACAUUCCACUGGUAAUGUGCCUGAGAAGGAAGAGAAGAAAGCAAAAUCAAGAGUGGAAAGUGGGAGCUGCAAAAGCAGGAACUGAAGCAAAGGAGACACCUAGCACUAUUGAGCAGAUGAUUGUAGAGAUCAAAGGUACACUGAAGAAGGGAUCCAAACCUAGUGAGCUUGGCUCCUUUCUGGGCUCUGACUGAGUCUUAUCAAGAGAAAACGAAUGCACUUUUUCAGGCCCUGUUUUUGGGUGUGGGUAAAAUAGGUUGCAAAAUGGGUUGUCAAGAAGAAGAAAGAACUACCUUCUGGCUAUAGUGCAUGAUAAGGAAUCACAGAUGCGUCUUCUGUGUGCUAUUGGAACAUUCUGUGGGAAUUUAGUAGGGAUGCACUGAGGAAGUUGCUUUGGUAGCUAAAUCUCUUUAUGAUGAAGAUGGUUUGGAAGAAGAUUACAUAGUGCAGUGGUACAAAGAUGGUCGAAUGCUGAGUCAGAGGUAGAAGAGGAGUAAUAAUAGUUUCUAUCACGUAUAUUAGUACUUUAAUCAUCUCAUUUCCUGCCAGAACUAGUAUCGAUCUGUGUGAUGCCUAUUUCAUCCCUUUGCGAGUUUUAAACUUGGUCAUGUACCAGUACUAUUGUGUUUGACUUGGUUCUUAUCGAAAUAAAGAAGUUAUAUUGUGGUUGGUA